AGGUUAAGUUAUGAAGGGCGCACGGUGGAUGCCUUGGCACUAGGAGCCGAUGAAGGACGGUACUAACACCGAUAUGCUUCGGGGAGCUGUAAGUAAGCAUUGAUCCGAAGAUUUCCGAAUGGGGAAACCCACUGCUCGUAAUGGGGCAGUAUCCUUACCUGAAUACAUAGGGUAAGAGAAGGUAGACCCGGGGAACUGAAACAUCUUAGUACCCGGAGGAAGAGAAAGCAAACGCGAUUUCCUGAGUAGCGGCGAGCGAAACGGAAGAUAGCCCAAACCAAGAGGCUUGCCUCUUGGGGUUGUAGGACACUCUAUACGGAGUUACAAAAGAGCGAAGUAGACGAAGCGACCUGGAAAGGUCCGUCAGAGAAGGUAACAACCCUGUAGUCGAAACUUCGUUCUCUCUUGAGUGGAUCCUGAGUACGGCGGGACACG
rnacentral:rRNA from 1 species